UACGUAGGGUGCAAGCGUUGUCCGGAAUUAUUGGGCGUAAAGAGCUCGUAGGCGGUUUGUCGCGUCGAAUGUGAAAACCCGGGGCUCAACCCCGGGCCUGCAUUCGAUACGGGCAGACUAGAGUUCGGUAGGGGAGUCUGGAAUUCCUGGUGUAGCGGUGAAAUGCGCAGAUAUCAGGAGGAACACCGGUGGCGAAGGCGGGACUCUGGGUCGAUACUGACGCUGAGGUGCGAAAGCGUGGGGAGCAAACAGG
rnacentral:rRNA from 1 species